UUUAAACGCAGCCAUGAAUUUUCGUGUCUAACUUUAAUCAUCUGUUUUAUUUAAAAUUUUUAUGAUGACUAUUUUUAUUGUUAUUACAUAAUAAAAAUGAAUAGUACUUUAUGCGUAAGUUAUGUUUUUAAUUUUUUAAUAAUAUUAUUAAAUGAGAUAGAUAAUUAAAAUUAAACACGAGAACUUAUUGCUACGUUUAAA
rfam:Oryza sativa (indica cultivar-group) chromosome 2, whole genome shotgun sequence.